GUGUUGACGUGUAUGACGAAGUGUCCUACCUCUGAUUCCAUUCUCAUUGUUUCCCUUCCCCCCGUCAACAGUGCACGUUGUGUCUCUGCGGCUCUGUGCAGUAAGUAGAGGCUGAAACCGAGUUGCUGAGGUGCUCCUGGAGGACUUGAUUGCUUUUCCUAACACACAAAUCUGGUGCAAUGAGGCCCACGGUGCUAGUGUCGGCGGUGAUGGUGGUGGUCCUGCUGAUGACCCUCCCCCCUACCCAGGCCAUGAGCCAUUGCGAAAAACCGUGCACAAAGGAGCUCUUCCCAA